rnacentral:rRNA from 1 species
UACGGGAGGCAGCAGUGGGGAAUAUUGCACAAUGGGCGAAAGCCUGAUGCAGCAACGCCGCGUGAGGGAUGACGGCCUUCGGGUUGUAAACCUCUUUUAGCAGGGAAGAAGCGAAAGUGACGGUACCUGCAGAAAAAGCACCGGCUAACUACGUGCCAGCAGCCGCGGUAAU